rnacentral:rRNA from 1 species
AUUGAACGCUGGCGGCAGGCUUAACACAUGCAAGUCGAGCGGAGAUGAGGUGCUUGCACCUUAUCUUAGCGGCGGACGGGUGAGUAAUGCUUAGGAAUCUGCCUAUUAGUGGGGGACAACAUUCCGAAAGGAAUGCUAAUACCGCAUACGUCCUACGGGAGAAAGCAGGGGAUCUUCGGACCUUGCGCUAAUAGAUGAGACUAAGUCGGAUUAGCUAGUUGGUGGGGUAAAGGCCUACCAAGGCGACGAUCUGUAGCGGGUCUGAGAGGAUGAUCCGCCACACUGGGACUGAGACACGGCCCAGACUCCUACGGGAGGCAGCAGUGGGGAAUAUUGGACAAUGGGGGAAACCCUGAUCCAGCCAUGCCGCGUGUGUGAAGAAGGCCUUAUGGUUGUAAAGCACUUUAAGCGAGGAGGAGGCUACUGAGACUAAUACUCUUGGAUAGUGGACGUUACUCGCAGAAUAAGCACCGGCUAACUCUGUGCCAGCCGCCGCAGUAACAC